rnacentral:rRNA from 1 species
UUUGAAAUCUGGCUCUUUCAGGGUCCGAGUUGUAAUUUGCAGAGGGUGCUUUGGUGUUGGCGGCGGUCUAAGUUCCUUGGAACAGGACAUCGCAGAGGGUGAGAAUCCCGUAUGUGGUCGCCUGCCUUCGCCGUGUAAAGCCCCUUCGACGAGUCGAGUUGUUUGGGAAUGCAGCUCUAAAUGGGAGGUAAAUUUCUUCUAAAGCUAAAUACCGGCCAGAGACCGAUAGCGCACAAGUAGAGUGAUCGAAAGAUGAAAAGCACUUUGGAAAGAGAGUCAAACAGCACGUGAAAUUGUUAAAAGGGAAGCGCUUGCAGCCAGACUUGCCUGUAGUUGCUCACCUGGGCUUUUGCCCGGGGCACUCUUCUGCAGGCAGGCCAGCAUCAGUUUGGGCGGUAGGAUAAAGGCCUCUGACACGUAUCUCCCUUCGGGGUUAACAUAUAGGGGAGGCGCAAUGCUACCAGCCCGGACUGAGGUCCGCGCAUCUGCUAGGAUGCUGGCGUAAUGGCUGUAAGCGGCCCGUCUUGAAACACGGACCAAGGAGUCUAACAUCUAUGCGAGUGUUUGGGUGUCAAGCCCGAGCGCGUAAUGAAAGUGAACGGAGGUGGGAACCCCUCGGGGCGCACCAUCGACCGAUCCUGAUGUCUUCGGAUGGAUUUGAGUAAGAGCAUAGCUGUUGGGACCCGAAAGAUGGUGAACUAUGCUUGAAUAGGGUGAAGCCAGAGGAAACUCUGGUGGAGGCUCGCAGCGGUUCUGACGUGCAAAUCGAUCGUCAAAUUUGGGCAUAGGGGCGAAAGACUAAUCGAACUAUCUAGUAGCUGGUUCCUGCCGAAGUUCCCUC